rnacentral:tRNA from 1 species
GGGGGCAUAGCUCAGCUGGUUCAGAGCAUCUGCCUUACAAGCAGAGGGUCAGCGGUUCGAACCCGUUUGCCCCCA